UACGUAGGGUGCGAGCGUUGUCCGGAAUUAUUGGGCGUAAAGAGCUCGUAGGCGGUGUGUCACGUCGAUCGUGAAAACUUACAGCUUAACUGUGAGCGUGCGGUCGAUACGGGCAUCACUGGAGUUCGGCAGGGGAGACUGGAAUUCCUGGUGUAGCGGUGAAAUGCGCAGAUAUCAGGAGGAACACCGGUGGCGAAGGCGGGUCUCUGGGCCGAUACUGACGCUGAGGAGCGAAAGCGUGGGGUAGCAAACAGG
rnacentral:rRNA from 1 species